rnacentral:rRNA from 1 species
GACGAACGCUGGCGGCGUGCUUAACACAUGCAAGUCGAGCGGUAAGGCCCUUUCGGGGGUACACGAGCGGCGAACGGGUGAGUAACACGUGGGUGACCUGCCCUUAGCUCUGGGAUAAGCCUGGGAAACUGGGUCUAAUACCGGAUAUGACUCCAUGACGCAUGUUGUGGGGUGGAAAGCCUUGUGCGGCUAGGGAUGGGCCCGCGGCCUAUCAGCUUGUUGGUGGGGUGAUGGCCUACCAAGGCGACGAUGGGUAGCCGGCCUGAGAGGGCGACCGGCCACACUGGGACUGAGACACGGCCCAGACUCCUACGGGAGGCAGCAGUGGGGAAUCUUGCGCAAUGGGCGAAAGCCUGACGCAGCGACGCCGCGUGAGGGAUGACGGCCUCGG